rnacentral:rRNA from 1 species
GGGUGGUAAUACCGGAUGCUCCGCUCCAUCGCAUGGUGGGGUGGGAAAUGCUUUUGCGGCAUGGGAUGGGGUCGCGUCCUAUCAGCUUGUUGGCGGGGUGAUGGCCCACCAAGGCGUUGACGGGUAGCCGGCCUGAGAGGGUGACCGGCCACAUUGGGACUGAGAUACGGCCCAGACUCCUACGGGAGGCAGCAGUGGGGAAUAUUGCACAAUGGGCGCAAGCCUGAUGCAGCGACGCCGCGUGCGGGAUGGAGGCCUUCGGGUUGUAAACCGCUUUUGUUCAAGGGCAAGGCACGGUUUCGGCCGUGUUGAGUGGAUUGUUCGAAUAAGCACCGGCUAACUACGUGCCAGCAGCCGCGGUAAUACGUAGGGUGCGAGCGUUAUCCGGAUUUAUUGGGCGUAAAGGGCUCGUAGGCGGUUCGUCGCGUCCGGUGUGAAAGUCCAUCGCCUAACGGUGGAUCUGCGCCGGGUACGGGCGGGCUGGAGUGCGGUAGGGGAGACUGGAAUUCCCGGUGUAACGGUGGAAUGUGUAGAUAUCG